GCAAUUCUGGAAAACCAUCCACCUUCUUACUAACUUACAGAUGAGGCUGUCUUCUACAUUUGAGGAAGCACCAACAGAUCUUACAAGUCCUAAAGUAAAAAACUGAAUAAAAUCCUUCUCAGCAGUCAAAGAAAAACAGGAACUGAAGAAUUAGUAUGUUCUAGAACUAGUAAUUCACAAAUACCAGGUUAAGAACUCCUACACUAGGCCAUACGGCAGUAUUGCUUGUGAGACAAUUUAAUCAACCAGCACAUCAAAGAACAAAUAAUUAUCAGGCUACAUACCUUUUAGCUUUCAGAACAUGCAGGACAGCCCUGAGAAACAGCUCAUCAAAUUCAACUUGGAGCU